rnacentral:lncRNA from 1 species
UUAAGUGGUGCCAUGGUGUUGAGAAUAUCGGGAAAUUGAAAAGGAAAAAAGAAGUAAACAAUCAACAAUAAACAGCAACAUCAGACUGACUCAGAUUCAACCAAUUGGACAGUGAAAUUACCUUAUGAAAACCAAUCAGUAACCAAAUAGCAGAACUUGACCCAUAACUAUUUCGAAGACCAAAUCAAAACCAUUCAAUCCCUGAAUUAGUGUCUAUGAUUUUUCAGAGGCUUUCAAGGAGUUCUUACUAAUGAAAAGGAUCAGAAAUUUCUAUUUUUCUCAAAAAUUUUCAUGAAAUCAUUAGCUGUUUUUAGUUUCAGCUUUUU